UAAAUAAAUUAAACUCAUCAUCUUCUAAGCCCCUUCUUUCCCCUUUAACCCUAACAUCACCCACCACCGUACUGCAUUAUAUCAUCAUCCUGAAUCCCCAUCUACUCCAACAACAUCGCCGGCCUUCAUCUUCCAUCUCCGUCGCACACCGACGUCACCCACAUCCCCGUCGCUGGUUCGACGUCGUCACCUGAACCCCACCCCCAUCGGACACCUCUUUCGCUGCAGACAGUCACCAUCGCCGCCCGUCGCUGGUUCCGACCACCACCGUAUUCAGCCGUCAUUAUGCAACAACCGGUGCUCCUCCGCUUCUAAACUCAGGUAUGUCUCGAUUAUCUUUCGUUCUCUUCCUAGCGACAUCCUGGAACAACCGUCACUCUUGCUCCUGUGACACCACUCCGAACCGGCUCUGAUUGUCGUCGUUACUGGUCUCCGCCUUCAGUUCACUGACAUGCAUUUUAAUGAAUUAAUGUGUAUCAUGGGUUCGAGGCAAAUUCAUCAGGUAUGGUACUUUUUAGCGAACAUCAGGUUGUGGACAUAUGGGUAAAACACAUAAAGAAAAUAAAUGUAGUCCCAACUGUUGCGCCUCCACUGGUUUAGUAGAUGCAUUCCACAUUCAUCUCCAAGCAUCGAGGACGAUACUAUAUCUUAAGCUUGGGGAGGUUGUGAUUUGAGGUAAUUUUUUAUGUUCUCAUUGUAUCAUGUAUUACAUAGCAUUUUUUCUUUGCAUUGCAUUUAGGUUGUAUAUACAUGCAUUAGUAUUCAUUUUUGAAAGAAAACCUAAAAAAAGAAAAAAAAAAAACCGUUUCUAUUCCGUUGAGAAUGAUUUGUGAAAAAAUGAGAUAUGAUAUGAUUUCUGGCAUGUCAAAGCUUAUGCGUGAAAUGGUAACUUCGGGGAAGAAAACAUAGAUAAUUUGGGAUAUGUUGAUAGGCUCAGCCCUAACUUAGGAACGCCAAUGUUGUAUGCAAUAACCUUAACUGAAUAUAUGUGUUUAGUUUCCCAUCUUGAUGCUUGUGGUUAAAAAUUGAUCCCGACCAAAAAUCGGUUGAGUUGCAUAUCCUCUAUCACACACCAUGUUCCCCAUAUCAUGACACCUCCGUAAUUUCAUUGAAAAAAAAUAAAGAGGUGAAAAAUUGACCUCAAAGAGGUGAAAAAUUGACCUCAUAGGUUAUUAUAGUUGAAAAAAAAGAAAAAAAAGAGAAAAAGGAAGGGGUAAAAGAGCACAAUGUAUGCCAAAAAUUUGAAAAAAAUCGAAAUCGAAAUAAAAAAAAAUAUUUGAGCAAAUUAGGGAGAAAAGUCCCGACCCCUUGAAAAACGAAAAAAAAAAGAUAAUAACUAUCGUGUCAUGGUUUGGGUGCAUGGUCGCAUCAAGUGUGGUUUUGGAAAUCUUCAAAAAGUCGUGAGGUUGGGUAGAUGUUGCCAUAGGUGUUGGGCGUGGGGACGAUUAAACCAUGUUGGUAAAUUUGUAUAUUAUUAAGCAGAAAGCAUUUGGUCGUGAUUAAGUGGGUUCGAGUUUAAAGGGACACAAAAUAUCAACAAUCGCGGUUACACGUGUUAGUAUUUCCCGGGUUCGAAUGAAUGUAAUAGGAGUUGACAAUGUUUGAUGUGAUCUCAUUACAAGUUUGUUUUCCGGAAUAAAAGAAGCGAGUUAGAAAAAAUAUAGCAUGCAUAUGUGUAUUAUUUUUCGUGUUUAUUUCUCGGUUUAUUCUUAUUCUUGACUUCCUUGAGGACAAGGAAAGGUUUAAGCUUGGGGAGAUUUGUUAGUUGCAUUUUUAGGCACGUUUUUAUAGCAUAUUUAUGUUAAAAUUCACUACAUAUCAUGCAUAUUUCAUAAUCAUACCUCAUUAUUUUGCGAAACGAUUAUUUUUGUGGAACGGAAUCUACUUUUGUUUGUUUUUGGUUGAUAUUGUAGGGGCGGAGUGAUUGCGAGCAAUAACUAAAAGGUCGAGUAGAUUAUGAGCAUUGAAAGAUGAUGAAGAAGCUUAAACUAGAGACGGGCCAUGAGUUGGGCUCAUUAAAUAAAAUGGUUUUGGUGAAUUGUAAUUAGUGAAGAUGGGCUGAACUAACAAUUCCUUUUGGGCUGCCAAGAAAAAAAAAACGAAAGAAAAGAAAAAUGAAGUUUGGCAAGUAGGAGAAAAGAAAGAACAAUAUAUCAUCACCCAACAACCUGGACGAAAAGAAGGCAACAAUUCUGGACGACUUCGAAGACGGCUGCAAUCCAGAGAGAAGCAAGAGUUGGGAUUUUGGGAAGUAUUUUUGGUUUCGUACGUUGUUAGUUCUAUGUUUUGUUUCAUUUUAGUAUUGAUUGUUCUAGCCAUCAUGUCCGGCUAGACUCUUAUAGUUUCGACAUCGUUUAUUUUCUUUGAUUUGGUUCAUAAACUUAUGUGAAACGAGCACGUUAGAUCCAAUUAUUUUAGUGGUUUGUUUAUAUG
rnacentral:lncRNA from 1 species